GACGAACGCUGGCGGCGUGCUUAACACAUGCAAGUCGAACGGAAAGGCCUGCUUUCCCUUGUGGAUUGCGGGUACUCGAGUGGCGAACGGGUGAGUAACACGUGAGUGAUCUGCCCCCAACUUGGGUAUAAGCCUGGGAAACUGUGUCUAAUUCCCGAUAGGACUGCAGGGUGGUGCCUGUGGUGGAAAACGAUUUUCUAGUGGUUGGGGAUGAGCUCGCGGCCUAUCAGCUUGUUGGUGGGGUAAUGGCCUACCAAGGCGGCGACGGGUAGCCGGCCUGGGAGGGUGGACGGCCACAUUGGGACUGAGAUACGACCCAGACGCCUACGGGAGGCAGCAGUGGGGAAGAUUGCAAAAUGGGCGGAAGCCUGAUGCAGCGACGCCGCGUGGGGGAGGACGGCCUUCGGGUUGUAAACUCCUUUCGAACGAGAGGAAGCCACCUGGUUGGAAGGGUGGUGACGGUAGUGGUAGAAGAAGCACCGGCUAACUACGUGC
rnacentral:rRNA from 1 species